GUGCUCGAUUCAGAAGCACAUGGACUUGAAUUGGAACAAUACAGAGAAGAUAAGCAUGGCCCCUACUUGAGGCUAGCAUGCAGAUUCAGGAAGUAUUCUGUAUUUUU